GACGAACGCUGGCGGCGUGCUUAACACAUGCAAGUCGAACGGAAAGGCCCUGCUUUUGUGGGGUGCUCGAGUGGCGAACGGGUGAGUAACACGUGAGUAACCUGCCCUUGACUUUGGGAUAACUUCAGGAAACUGGGGCUAAUACCGGAUAGGAGCUCCUGCUGCAUGGUGGGGGUUGGAAAGUUUCGGCGGUUGGGGAUGGACUCGCGGCUUGUCAGCUUGUUGGUGGGGUAGUGGCUUACCAAGGCUUUGACGGGUAGCCGGCCUGCGCGGGUGACCGGCCACAUUGGGACUGCGAUACGGCCCAGACUCCUACGGGAGGCAGCAGUGGGGAAUAUUGCACAAUGGGCGGAAGCCUGAUGCAGCAACGCCGCGUGCGGGAUGACGGCCUUCGGGUUGUAAACCGCUUUCGCCUGUGACGAAGCGUGAGUGACGGUAAUGGGUAAAGAAGCACCGGCUAACUACGUG
rnacentral:rRNA from 1 species